CCAUACCGCGCAGGCGUUUCAGUCUCCUCGCGGCGCCUCUGAUAGCAGCUGAUACCUCUCGUUCGAAGUUGACCGAUGGAAUUGAAAUCGUCCGAGGAUUCGGAACAUUCGGGACGAAAUCGUAAACUCAUGAAGAUCCUGUUGACGAUUGGCUGCUUGGUUGCGGUCGUCGCGUGUUUAGAGGGCGAUGAUCCGCAAGUCACCGAUCAGGUGUACUUCGACAUCAUGAUAGACGAUCAUCCAGCAGGACGAAUCGUGAUUGGUUUGUUCGGAAACGUUACUCCCAAAACCGUAAAAAAUUUCGUCACCCUUGCGACCACUGGUGUAGCUGGGAAAACAUACAAGGGUAGCAAAUUCCAUCGCGUGAUCAAGAAGUUCAUGAUCCAAGGUGGGGAUAUCGAGAACGGUGACGGGACUGGGUCCAUCAGCAUCUACGGUAAAUAUUUUGACGACGAGAAUUUCGACCUUAUCCACGACAGCCCUAUGGUCGUGAGCAUGGCGAACGCAGGAAAAAACACGAACGGCUGUCAGUUUUUCAUCACGACUCUUCCGACGCCGUGGUUGGAUGGAAAGCAUACAGUAUUCGGAAAGGUUGUCAGUGGUCAGGACGUGGUUUUCAAGAUCGAACAGACCAAGACGGACGCUGAUGACGUUCCGGUCAAACCCGUUGUUAUUUUCGACAGUGGCUUAAUUCCUACGCCGCAGCCAUUUGUAAUAGUUGACAACACUUACAAGUAAAUCAAGGACUUUCGCAAAAUGUAGGAGUGCUGAGAGUAGAGGGUUGAGAGUAACUGUCAUCGCAAGUUUACAAAUUUGAUCCUUUCUUUUUUUUGAUUAAUGAAUGUCGUAUAAGUCAUAUAAGUCGUAUAAGUCUAUCUUUUCGAAAAAUGGAGCUUCACCUAGGUUAUCAGUUUGACAGUCGGACUCAUACAUAUGCAAGUUUGCCGAGCUAACGAUUAUGUGAUAAUUCGUAUUUGAUAUUGAUUGUUGACAAAUUUUCUUAUUUAAUUCGAAAAUAUAUAUAACCAUUUAUGUCGUAAUAUAAAUGUUUGAUAUCUUAAAACGAAGGAAGAUGGACUUAUAUUACUUCUAUCACGAACGGUUCGUGAUGUUUCAAUUUAACACAUUCACUGCCAACUACGAGAUGCUCGUAUUUCAAAUUAAUUGGAAUUACUCAAGGAGUCACGAAUUUGAGUCACGAAUUAUUGCAAAAAGAAUCGUAAAUAUUCGUUUUAAAACAACAAAUUUAAUAUCACUUUUUAUUAUCAAAAUAAUAACUUAGAUUACACAUAUGUCUUAAAUCUUGGCGCUGAAGGCAAAACGCAUUAAAUUUGCCUGGCAGUGAAUGAAUUAAAACAGUUUUCAUCUUCCGUGAUCAAGAGCCGUAGACCGACUUGAUGAAAUAUAAAAAUUAUAUUUUAUGCUUUUAUAUUCUUCUUUGGAGUUAUACAGAAGUAAAGUAGAAAUUAAUGAUGCUUCGAGUAGCAGUAGGUGGAUGCCUUAUUAUAUAAAGCCUCUGGGCAUGGGCGAAAGCGACAUGCAUACCCUUGAGUUUCAGUUUCUCGAUUCUCGGCUUCUUCCACUAUAUGAUGAAGCAGUUAGACGUGUAAUUAGUACAAAUUCGUCUAAACAUUCAAUUUACAACGGGGGAAUUGUUCCGACGCAUACGUAAACAGUUGGAACUUGAAGGCGAUUGCAUUCUUGGUUCAGCAAAGUGAUAAUGGAAACGAUCCAGUGAACCAUAAGUGACAUCUAACAUCAGAUAGAGGAACCACUUCUCAAGCGUUAUCAGGAGAAAUUCUGUAAUAUUAUUUUGUAAUCAUUUCAUGUAAAAAGAAAAAAACAAUUAAAAUACUUAACCACGCCUAAA